AACGGCGGCCGAUUCUUAUUCUGAGAGUCGGAUGAAGAGUUAACGGCGAGGAGGGAAUCGUCCUUCCGCAUCCUCACGCUCACCAGGUCGUCCCAAAUGUCGAGGUCAUCGUCGUCCUCGAUGGAGGACACGUAGUCGUCCAACUUGCGCUUCGCCGAGGCGCGGUACUCGCUGGAGGCGGCGGCGGCGCCACUGACGACGGGGCUGGCAGCAGUGCGAUGAGAGGGACUAUCGCUGGCCGAUGAUCG
rnacentral:lncRNA from 1 species